GAGAGAGGCCUAAAGCCAUUGACCUUCUCCGUGGAGACUUCAUGUGAGGUAUAAUGACUUUUGUUUUUAACUGAGUUCCCUAAAUCAAUCCAAACGAUGAGGGUCACUAGUUGUUUUAAUUAACAUGUCUAUAACUCUUUCCACUAAAUUAUCUUUUCCCCAGCCAGAUUAGAUGGGUGUUAUUUGAGUUCCCUCACCUACAAACAUAGUUGCAAACUUUAAUUGGUUUAGUCAGUAGAUUAGUAAAUGCAACAUUUACUUGGGCUCAGGGAACACCUGCUACUCCCUAAGUGCUGAAGCUAAACAGGUGCGGAUCUGAUCUGUUCCCUGAUGGGAGACUAUUGGGAGGUAAGGUAAUUGUGGAAUAUUAAUAUAAAACAUGAAAGAAAAGGAAUAAGAGUAACAAUGGGCUUAGUUUUUCAGCAUUUAAGGUGGCAAAUAGAAAGGUGAAACAUUUGCCAUGAGCACCUUUGAGGGCUCAGCCACACUUCCUUUUGUCCUGCAACUUUCCCUUGAGAAAAAGCUUCUCUUUUGUGUUCAGUUAGAGCAAAUGGCAGUUCGAGUUUUCUCUGGACUGACGUUUGUUCCAAUUUAGCACUAAAGAGCAGGUUUUCCCUGAGAUCUGUUGGAUCAAAGCACUGCUUAGUCCAACAUCCUGUUUCUCACAGAGCCUUAUAUGAUGUGCACAAGCAGGGCUUGAGGGCAAUAGCCUGACACCAUAUUUGUCCAAAUCUUUCUAAAGUCCUCAGCCCUAUUCCACAUCAGUAGGGUGAUUAUAAUAACAUUGGCAAGUUGCUUUUACCCCAAGCACUGUAUACAGGCCUUCCUUCCACCCACAAGUGCAUAUAUACAGUAAUACUUCACUUCUGAUUUAAUAUACGGUCACAAGGACGUCAGGGAAGUUUCCCUAGCCCUUUUCAGAAUGAAGGUGCUUCUUUCAAUAAGUCUUGGUGUGCCUUGCCAGAAUGUCUGUGGCUUGCUGAAAAAGUCGCUGCAUGGUUCCCCUAUCCAGCCGAGAUGUUAAUUGGCCUUAUAAUGUUGUGACAGGGUUGUCUGCUCAGCUGUAUAGAAAACCAGCAGGAGUCCAGGUUAAGUAGAGGAAACUCUCCUGACUUCUUCUGAUUGAUUUAACAGGUUUGUUUGUUGUCUUUUUAAAAAAAAUAAUACAACCCAAGAAAAGAUUUAUCAAGUCAUUAGACCUCAUUCCUUGAAGGAGCUGAACAAUUCAUAUCGCAACAAAGCACACAAGGUAUGACCCAAUAAACUAUCAAAAUCAAAGUUUUAUAUCAUGUCCCCCCCUCCAGAAGAUAGACCAGUAGUGUAGCAGAGGAGGAACACAGGGGAGCACAACGUCAGUAUUUUUUUCGCAGCAAGAGCGAUACUGCCAUCUGCUGAAACAGCAUUAUUACCCCUAAGUGCUGAAAACUUGGUGGAUUAGAGGAUAGGUUAGUCCUGUCAUAUGAUCCCUUCAUUAGGUAGACUAAUCUCAGACAGUGGGCAUGGGUGGGAACAGCCAUAGAGCCCUCCUCCCACCAGCAACAUUGCUGUUACCUGGACAGGACAGGACUGGUAAGUGUCAUGAUUGUAUCAGCAAGAGGAUCAGAUUCCCAGUGCUGGUUCUACAGGUGCCACCCCAACCUUAACCACCAUCCCUACAGGGAAGAGGGUAUGCUGGAGGCAGCAAUGGGCAAUCCAGCUUCACACCAAUUGGAAUCCUUAAAGCUGUUCCUGAUUCGUCUCUUGACAUCCCUGCCUCGCCAACACCUCCUGGCGUGUAUACAAACAAACGAAUCUGACAUUAGUUAAGCUGUAAUGUGGACAGCUGGCUGGGUGGGAGGGCGAGCUGUGAAACAAACCAGUGGAGCAGGGGGUAAUUUCUAAGGUGGUAAUGUGAAACACCCUUAGGCUAGGAAGUUGGUUUUUACAGCUCCUUCAAAAAGCCUCUGAAGACACACUACCUGUCCAGGGUUUGAGAGCUAGGGACUGUUGACCACCACUGACAAACUAAACUGGUAGAGCUCAACAUAGCACUUCUCUAAGAAUGGCUUGUUUGCAGUGCCAUCGUCCUUAUGAAUGGGGCAAGGUGGAGAUGAGGUUACGGGUGUGGGAGGGAUUUCCAAUUAUACAAAAGCAACUUGGAAGACUUCACAUUAAUGCGGUUUGGAAGAUCUCCUCGGGUUCAUAUGAGGUGGUGAUAGCAGAGAGGCUGAAUUAACUGAGCAAGAACAAAUUAUGUUCACUUAAUAUAGAGACGUUGAACCUUUGUGCUCAAGAUGGCUGAUUCACCAUACUGUACUCUCAGUCAAUCCAUGCAGGAAAAAUACAGCUCUGGUUAAGGCUUCAUACUUCUGAUGGAGUGGACUGGCGUCUGUUAAAGUCCAUAAUAGAUGUUGGUUUUUAAGGUGUAACAGCGAAACUGGAUGCCAUCAUCUGCCCAAGCUGCACUAAAACAUGUCUCUCCUGCAUUGGUCUCUACAGCCACAGCAGGCACUGUAACUCUCCAGUGGUUUGACUUCAACCCCGAAUGGUAGACUCUUCCAUUGUUUCUCGAGACAGACAGAUGCCAACUGGCUUUAUAUGGUCUAAUAUUUAGGGAAAUUUUGGUUGUGGUUUAUUCUGUCCUAGCCCAGAGAGGAUUGAACAUGGUGACACCACUGUGUCACCUCUGGGCCUGUGCUUCUCCAUAGUUUGGCUGUGCAUUUAUCAGAAUGAUCUAACUGAGGACUUACCUGGUAAGACACUGCCCAGAGGCCAGUGUCAGAGCAGGAGGGUCAGGGACAUAUUUAGAAGGCAUUAUCUCUCUAACAAGAUUUGGACAGCUAUGUUCAGCAUUUUAGACCGAACAAAGGAACAGGUAUUUUCAAAGUGAGCUUUCAAAGAAGGCUUUUAAACUCUUUUUGAUCUCUCUAAGUCUCUUAAAGGGAAUUUAAAUUGAGAAUGGGUGACAUUCUUUGUUCAUGUGCCACUCCAUAUUAUUAGCUUUGUAAACAGAUGCUGGGCCUCAUUCAUGUCACUCACACUAACAAUUUGGCUUCGUUGCCCAUUCUCAUAUUUUCUGACUUACUUUUGAUGAUGUGCAACUUGUCAGGGCAAGGUGGCUAUUUAUUUGGGGCUAAUGUUUGUGUGGACACUUAGCAACGUGUCUGCUUCUCUUAAUAAACCACUUAAAGUGAAGUAAGGAAGUUCAUUCAGAGUUUCAUCUCCCUUGUUCUCCUCUGCAGGCCCUUGUGUUCCCCCCUCUCUGAACAGACAACGGCCAUGAAGAAUGGGACACAAGCCAGGGACUGAUGUGGGAGAGGGGAAUUGCCCCAAAUCAGGCUUGGAUUCAAACCUAAGGAAGUUAAUGAAAGGAACAUUUUCCACCCCUCCUUCCCCAACCUUCCAGGAAGGCUGUUAGAAAUAUUUGUCCCGGUAUACCUGACUGCACCAUCCCAGCUUUAUUCCCUGAAACAGCCUAUCAUCACCAAGAUUGUGUUACGAUAGUGGAGGGCAUGCCCCAUCCUCAGCACAUUAUAUAAGGGCGCAGUAAGUUUCACACGUCAUUCCAUCCGCUAUGCAGUGCAACUGUUAAACAGAGAGAAAACACACAAAGCCCUCAACAUCUUUCCCCACUUUUAUCUGUUAGGAAUUAUUCAGGCUUUCCACUUCACAAAGGUUCGAGCUAUUCUGAGCUCAGGAGGGCCACCCAAAAUGAAAGCAGGGCACACACUUGGCAAUAUUGACAAGAUCUUGAAAGAAGGAGCCUCCAGUGUCGAGUUUUGCUUUUGAUUGUGCCAGCCAUUCAUUAAGAUCUCAAGCUGGUUCCUCAAACAACACUUGGCCUGUAUGUACUCUCGACUAGAAACAGCCAGUAUUUCUAGCGCAGUUUAUGUGAUGAACUCGGACACCGUUUCUCCCAUGAGAGCCAUGUUACAAAACUGUGACCAUAAAACCAUUACAGACAACCUAGGUGGGUUGUCCAUGACAUAUAGUUAAGCUCUCAGAAAAAUAAAUCCCUUUUACGUAUCGGUUAGGAAAACUACGGUCGGUUGCGUUCUCAGCUGAAGUGUGUGGGUUUUAGGAGGAGUGGGGGAGAUGUGGCUUCUUUUGAAGGGUUCCAACUAUCUCAAAAUCAGGAGAGAGAAAUAAAUUAAUCUCCCAUUUGAUGACAUUGGCAGUUCUGGCUGCAGAAACUAUUUGGAAAUGUAAAAGUGCCAGUGCUGUACUACAGUUCCAGCAUGUUCCCUCCAGAAAAAAGGGGGGAAAUCUGCAUUUUAUUUAAUCCCUAGAGAACUGAAUGAAGUAGCCAGGGACAAGCACACCACAGAGAGGAUCUGUUCAGUUUCAUGGAAGCAGGCACUAAGUAGUUGUUGCUGGCACUGCCUACCUGCUUUGACAGGCUGGUGCCACACGGAAUCUCAGCAGAAGCCCUGUAGGAAAAGUUCUGAGGAGCAACACAACGGAGGCCCUUAUUGGAAUUAUAUUUCAUAAGCCUGGUUUACAGCGAAGGGCAAAGCAAACUGUAAAAGUCACUCAGAUUCAGCUGUGAACCACAAAACCUGUUCUUAGCUUUGUGCUCUUCCACUUUGGUUCAACGCUAUGGGAAGCUCCAGCAACUGAUUAACUGCCUGAGCACUACAUAAGAUUGCUUACGGCAGAAGGACCCCAUAUUUUAGAGGACCUGCACUAUGUAACUCCUUGUGGUUGUAUGAUUGUGCAAUGCUUGGUUAGCAAAUAUUUUUACACCACUGGUAGGGCCGGCCCAAGAGAUCUUGCUGCCUGAAGCAAAGCAGCAAAUGGCACCCUCCCCUCCAAGACAAGGAGCAGAAUACCUGUGUGCAGCCAAGUUAUUUUGGCACCUGAGACGGACCAUCCCACCAGUCCCUCCUUAACAGUAAAAAUGCAGCAAUAAUAAAUCAAGCCAAAAUCAGCUGUGUAAGUCAGUCACCUCACUGUGCAUAAUGGUGGGAGAGGGAGAGGGAGAGAGAAUGAAUAGCAAGUGCCCAGUGGGAAAUAAUAUAGUAACAUCAAAUCUUAGUUUUGAAGUCCUGC